rnacentral:rRNA from 1 species
AUGGAAAGAAAGGGGAAUGGACUAGCAAAUCCAAAGAAAAGGAGAAGAGAUUUGAAAAGGUAUUUGAGCAAAAAAGGAGAGACUGUUGAAAGAUUUCUAGCUAUUAAGCAUGUCCCAGAUACAACAUCUGCUUCUUUGAAGAAGGCAUUGUUGGAGGUUUUUGCUAAACAUGGUAUAGUUGUUGCAAGACUACAAGGGCAAGGAUAUGAUGGGGCAUCUAAUAUGAGAGGAGAAUUCAAUGGACUUCAUAAGUUAAUUCGAGAUGAGAACCCAUAUGCUUUCUAUAUCCACUGCUUUGCCCACCAACUGCAGUUGGUAGUUGUUGCCGUUUCGAGAUGCUGCAAGGGUGUUGAGGAUUUUUUUGAAUAUGUGACCAUGAUUGCCAAUUUCAGCACUUCAUUGAGUUGGCAUUGCUACUACCGGUAG